rnacentral:lncRNA from 1 species
AAAUAUCUAACCCACCAGGGGAUACUGAAUACCUACCAAAUCUGAUGCCGUAGAAAGGGUCAAGCCUUUGAUAAAUCACAACCAGACAUCUGUAGUUUUUUUAGGAACCUGCAGACUCUACCCAGAGAUGGAGGCAGCUGUGUUCCACUUCCUCUUUUUUUUUUUUUUAAUUGAGAUGGAGUCUUGCUCUGUUGCCCAGGCUGGAGUGCAGUGGCUCAAUCUCCACCUUCCAGAUUCAAGUGAUUCUCCUGCCUCAGUCUCCCAAGUAGCUGGGAUUACAACCAUGUGCCACCAUGCCUGGCUAAUCCAGCUUCCGGAUUCAAGUGAUUCUUCUGCCUCAGUCUCCCCAGUAGCUGGGAUUACAAGCAUGUGACACCAUGCCUGGCUAAUUUUGUAGCUAAUUUUUAGUAGAGAUGGGGUUUCACCAUGUUGGCUGGGCUGGUCUCGAACUCCUGACCUCAAGUGAUUCACCCACCUCAGCCUCCCAAAGUGCUGGGAUCCACUGCCUCUUUUGCUUUUGUUUUCUCUCAGCUUUGAUUAUCAGGAUGGACCUAAGUUCCAUAUGUGAAGCCCUCCCAUACAAUUCUUUUCCUAUGGUUCAACCCAGCCUAAAUGUGUCACUGAAGAGUUCCAGACAGAGCAGGCAGUUGCCCUUUAUAAUUCUCUUUUCUACAGGCUAUCACCCACCAUUACUUUAUGAAACUGCUUUUAGUGUCACCAAAUAAUUAUCCAGCAAACCUAAUGGUCUUUCCCUCUUCCUCAGUACCUUGACCUUUCUUUAGCAUUUAACUCAAAACCUCUUUAUUGACAUUCUAUCUCCUUGCUUUGAAAAAGAUGCUUUGAUUUGCUUCCACUUUGAUGAAUUUUUCAUCAUUGUUUUCUUCAGUGGCCCUUUUUCUUCCCUGUAUUAGUUAGGCUUUGUUCCAUCACAACUAUUUAAUUAGCUCAUGAGUCUAAAGGUUACCACUUUGGGAUAGUAUCUGCUGAUCUUAGCUGGGCUUGCUCAGUCAGCUCAUGAGUCAGCUGGCCAGUAGGACAUCUCUUCACAUAGUCUCACUUCCUCCUGGAGGUUAGCUUAGGAUUUUUAUGGCAGUUGCAGGACUCCAAGAGAACUAAGAAAGAAAACUCCAAUGUGCAAGUGCUUUUUAAGUCUCCACUUUUGUCACAUUUGCAACUGUCCCACUGGCCAAAGCACGUGAUUUGGCAAAGCCAAGAAUGAGUGUGGGAGGAGACUACCCCAAGAAUGCAGAUGCAAGGAAGCACAAAAAGAUGGGACAGUUACUACAACUUACACACCACUUAUUCACCUAAACUACAGCUAUUUAAAUCUAAAGACUUGAUCUUUGCCUCAUUGCUCCUGUUAGACUCUCAUUGUUUGAUUCUUAGAAUCCUUGUGAAGUUUAAAAUAUUCUGCUGUUCUUAUAUUACUGUGACAUCUAUAAUACCUUGGUGUGAAUGCUUCAAAAUCCAUUUUUACAGAAUAGAGUUGGCUCUUUGCCUUGACUUUUGUGUUUCUAAAUUUCCUUUGGACAUUUUCACUGAGAUGUUCUACUGGGGCUUCAAUUUCGACAUGAACUAAAAUUGAAUGUAUUAUCUUCCUCUCUGUUUCAACCAUUCCUUCCUUGUCUGCUUCAAUAAAAAUUACCAUAUGACACAUGUAUUUAUCUUAAUGUUUCACCUGGUCCCAAGUUACAUUUUUUGUUGUUUUGAGACAGGGUCUUGCCCUUUCACCUAGGCUGUAGUGCAGUGGUGAGAUGCCAGCUCACGGUAACCUUGACCUCCCAGCUAAAGCAAUCCUCCCACCUCAGCCUCCUGAGUACCUCCAAAAGUACUGGGAUCACAGGCAUGA